AAAAUCAAUGAAUUCGAGAAAAUAGUGAAAACACGGAAAAAUACUUUUGAUUAUUUUUUUAAUAAAAGUAGUUAAAUCAAAUACAAGUAAAACAAUGUGCAGCCCAAUACAAUGCUUGCCAAGUUACAAGGAACCCCCAACAUACAUUCCUUGCAUCCCUAUCAGGGGUCCGUCAUGUCUUCCUUGUGGGAUGGACAAUUGGACGGUCCGCCGACCCCUGAUAGUGCAUGACAGCACGUUCGACUACAGACCUACCAGCUGGCCCGGGAUGGUACUCAACAACCAGGAUAAGAAAGUUCGGUACCAACUCAUCAAUUACGAACGGCCGGUGAAAUCACACUAUCCUUCAUGUGCUCCUUCAUACAACACCUGUUAAGGGCUGUGGCGGCUGUCGACCAGCGCCGUGUUGUCAUCCGUGCAGGCCCUGCUGCGGCGGUGGAUCCCUCGUCACAGUAUACAGUCAAGUAGCACAUAUCCAGUGACCAGUGCCGCACCACCGCACUCGCGAUCACUUACCAAAUGCUGUACUAGCGCUGGGCCAGCCGCCAAGACCUAUUGCAGCAUUCGACAAAGCAGUCAUUGAAAUUCGUUAAAUGCUGGCUGAGUUAUUCAUUGACUUGCAAGUAUUUUCGUCCGGUGAAAGUUCUGUACCGUCACGUACCAUAAAGUGGUUGUAUAUUACGUAAAAGU